UACGAAGGGGGGCUAGCGUUGCUCGGAAUCACUGGGCGUAAAGCGCACGUAGGCGGCUUCUUAAGUCAGGGGUGAAAUCCUGGGAGCUCAACUCCAGAACUGCCUCUGAUACUGAGGAGCUAGAGUCCGGAAGAGGUGAGUGGAACUGCGAGUGUAGAGGUGAAAUUCGUAGAUAUUCGCAAGAACACCAGUGGCGAAGGCGGCUCUCUAGUA
rnacentral:rRNA from 1 species